rnacentral:rRNA from 1 species
GACGUAGGGCGCGAGCGUUGUCCGGAUUUAUUGGGCGUAAAGAGCUCGUAGGCGGUGUGUCACGUCGUUCGUGAAAACCUGCAGCUUAACUGUGGGCGUGCGGUCGAUACGGGCAUCACUGGAGUUCGGCAGGGGAGACUGGAAUUCCUGGUGUAGCGGUGAAAUGCGCAGAUAUCAGGGGGAACACCGGUGGCGAAGGCGGCUCACUGGCCCGGUACUGACGCUGAGGUGCGAAAGCGUGGGGAGCAAACAGG